AUAGAGGGUGAGAGCCCCGUCUGGUUGGACGCCGAACCUCUGUAAAGCUCCUUCGACGAGUCGAGUAGUUUGGGAAUGCUGCUCUAAAUGGGAGGUAUAUGUCUUCUAAAGCUAAAUACCGGCCAGAGACCGAUAGCGCACAAGUAGAGUGAUCGAAAGAUGAAAAGAACUUUGAAAAGAGAGUUAAACAGUACGUGAAAUUGUUGAAAGGGAAGCGCUUGUGACCAGACUUGGGCUUGGUUGAUCAUCCGGGGUUCUCCCCGGUGCACUCUUCCGGCCCAGGCCAGCAUCAGUUCGCCCUGGGGGACAAAGGCUUCGGGAACGUGGCUCUCUCCGGGGAGUGUUAUAGCCCGUUGCGUAAUACCCUGUGGCGGACUGAGGUUCGCGCAUUCGCAAGGAUGCUGGCGUAAUGGUCAUCAGUGACCCGUCUUGAAACACGGACCAAGGAGUCGUCUUCGUAUGCGAGUGUUCGGGUGUCAAACCCCUACGCGAAAUGAAAGUGAACGCAGGUGAGAGCUUCGGCGCAUCAUCGACCGAUCCUGAUGUUAUCGGAUGGAUUUGAGUAAGAGCAUACGGGGCCGGACCCGAAAGAAGGUGAACUAUGCCUGUGUAGGGUGAAGCCAGAGGAAACUCUGGUGGAGGCUCGCAGCGGUUCUGACGUGCAAAUCGAUCGUCAAACAUGGGCAUGGGGGCGAAAGACUAAUCGAACCUUCUAGUAGCUGGUUUCCGCCGAAGUUUCCCUCAGGAUAGCAGUGUUGAACUCAGUUUUAUGAGGUAAAGCGAAUGAUUAGGGACUCGGGGGCGCUAUUUAGCCUUCAUCCAUUCUCAAACUUUAAAUAUGUAAGAAGCCCUUGUUGCUUAAUUGAACG
rnacentral:rRNA from 1 species